rnacentral:rRNA from 1 species
UUUUUAUUGUUAUUAUAAUAAAUAAGACCUGCUCAAUGUUUAAUAAAUAGCCGCAGAAUUUUUACUGUGCUAAGGUAGCAUAAUCACUAGCCCUUUAAUUGAGGGCUUGUAUGAAAGGUUUCACAUUUAAAUAUCUUUUUUUAUUGUAAAUUUAAAAUUAUAUCAAAUAUAAAAAUAUAUUUAUCCAUAAAUUAGACGACAAGACCCUGUUGAACUUAACUUUAGUUUAGCUGGGGCAGCUAAUUAACUAACAUUUUAAUUUCUAUCAUUAAAUACAAUGAACCAAUUAAAUUGGUAAAAGGAACAAGUUACCACAGGGAUAACAGCGUAAUUUCUUUCUAAAGCUCUUAUUAAAAAAGAAGAUUGCGACCUCGAUGUUGAAUUAACAUUCCUUAUAAAACGCAAUAGUUUAUAAAGAAGGUCUGUUCGACCUUUAAACUGUUAC